UUUUAAUAUAUCUUUCAAAAUUACAAUCCAUUCAGUAAUCACAAUAAAAAGAGAACAUCCUAAUUUGAUAAGAAAGAAGCUAAGUGUUUGAUUAAAUUCUCAGAACUGAGUCCCUGAAUUCAUAAUGUGGAAGGCAUGAUUCUCUCCCUCCACUUCAAUCAUUUCAAUAUCUCCUUUCCACCCACUUUUCUUCACUGCUUCAUAGUAAGAAACGCCUCUAUCCCUUAACAUGUCCAAGGAAGCAACAGUCACUAGCAACCUAGAGCACCCAAGUUUAGCCAAGCUUGGAGCUCCUGGAGCAACUGGAUUGAUCAGUGGACUGUCAAUACCACCAAUUGCUAAUGGAUUGACAAAAUCCCAACGCAUAUGGACAAUUGUAUUCUCACGUUCUACUAUAGUCUCCGAUCCUAUUGGCUUUGAACCCCAAAAAUAUGGAUGUGUAAGAAAAGCUCCUGAGAUUUUAACACCACCAGGUAAGCUCUCACUGCCAGCCUGCAUCACCAUUUUAUGCACAAUAUUGGCUGCUGCACUGUCACCGCCAACAAAAAGACGACCAAAAUCACCUUUGUUUGAUAGCCAUGGCUCUUUGUUAAUAUCAUUAUGAUCAAAGAGUGAUAAUGAGGCGACCCACCGGAGGGCAUUCCAGCAAUCUUCAUAGGCAGCAGGAAGAAAGUGUUCAGGGGCUAGCCUGUACUCUAUUGAUAUAGCAACAACUUUGGAUUAAGAACCAGGCUGUUGAGGAAUUUGGUAUGGUCCGAAGAAAAGGCAGACUCGAAGCAAAAGCC
rnacentral:misc_RNA from 1 species